AUUGAACGCUGGCGGCAUGCCUUACACAUGCAAGUCGAACGGUAACAGGUUAAGCUGACGAGUGGCGAACGGGUGAGUAAUGUAUCGGAACGUGCCCAGUCGUGGGGGAUAACUACUCGAAAGAGUGGCUAAUACCGCAUACGACCUGAGGGUGAAAGCGGGGGACCGUAAGGCCUCGCGCGAUUGGAGCGGCCGAUAUCAGAUUAGCUAGUUGGUGGGGUAAAAGCCCACCAAGGCGACGAUCUGUAGCUGGUCUGAGAGGACGACCAGCCACACUGGGACUGAGACACGGCCCAGACUCCUGCGGGAGGCAGCAGUGGGGAAUUUUGGACAAUGGACGCAAGUCUGAUCCAGCCAUGCCGCGUGCGGGAAGAAGGCCUUCGGGUUGUAAACCGCUUUUGUCAGGGAAGAAACGAGUUUCUCUAAUACAGAGACUUAAUGACGGUACCUGAAGAAUAUGCACCGGCUAACUACGUGCCAGCCGCCGCGGUAAAAC
rnacentral:rRNA from 1 species